rnacentral:misc_RNA from 1 species
UGAUCUUUUUGGUUCAUAUGCUGAAUCAUCCUGUGCUGCUCUUGUUGUUGCUUCUAUCUCCUCUUUCGGCAACAACCAUGAGUUCACACCAAUGCUCUAUCCUCUCAUAGUUAGUUCUAUGGGUAUCCUUGUUUGCCUGAUCACCACUUUAUUUGCAACUGAUUUCUUUGAGAUCAAGGCUGUUAAGGAAAUUGAGCCAGCAUUGAAGAAGCAACUCAUAAUUUCCACUGUUCUAAUGACCUUUGGAAUUGCAAUUGUUACUUGGUUGGCUGUUCCAUCGAAAUUUACCAUCUUCAAUUUUGGAACUCAAAAAGUUGUACAGAACUGGGAACUUUUCUUGUGCGUUGCUGUUGGUCUUUGGGCUGGGCUUAUAAUAGGAUUUGUGACAGAGUAUUACACUAGCAAUGCAUACAGCCCCGUGCAAGAUGUUGCUGAUUCUUGCCGAACUGGAGCUGCUACAAAUGUUAUUUUUGGCUUGGCCUUGGGAUACAAAUCUGUCAUUAUCCCUAUUUUUGCAAUUGCAGUUAGCAUUUUUGUGAGUUUCUCCUUUGCUGCAAUGUAUGGCAUUGCCGUUGCUGCCCUUGGAAUGUUGAGUACAAUUGCUACUGGUUUGGCC